UGCGGAAUUGUGUAAUGGUAGCACAGCAGACUCUGACUCUGUUCGUCUGGGUUCAAAUCCUGGUUCCGCAGCCA
rnacentral:tRNA from 1 species